rnacentral:rRNA from 1 species
CCAGAGAUGGAUUCGUGCUCGAAAGAGAACCUGCACACAGGUGCUGCAUGGCUGUCGUCAGCUCGUGUCGUGAGAUGUUGGGUUAAGUCCCGCAACGAGCGCAACCCUUGCCAUUAGUUGCUACAUUUAGUUGGGCACUCUAAUGGGACUGCCGGUGACAAACCGGAGGAAGGUGGGGAUGACGUCAAGUCCUCAUGGCCCUUAUAGGUGGGGCUACACACGUCAUACAAUGGCCGGUACAAAGGGUAGCCAACCCGCGAGGGGGAGCCAAUCCCAUAAAGCCGGUCGUAGUCCGAAUCGCAGUCUGCAACUCGACUGCGUGAAGUCGGAAUCGCUAGUAAUCGUGGAUCAGCAUGUCACGGUGAAUACGUUCCCGGGUCUU